CAAAAACACAUUUCGAAACCGCCACCGGUACACAUAACAUACGUGAUUCAAAUAUUAGUGAUAGCAAGUAUUAGGUAGAUGGAUUGGAAUAUUUUUUACGUUACGAUUUGUUCGAGUUCAAACCUACAAACUGUCAAAAUAUAAAGCCGUCCGUGUACAAAAAUGUCUUUGAUCACGCUACAAACCUGUGUUCGAUGAUUCCACCCGCAGAACUCGCAGAUGUAUAUUACGUUAGUUGGCCAUGGAUUUUGUGGAAAAAUUAACACAAUACGAGUACACCAAAUUUAAACCGUUUAGAUACUUUAUAACGUACUGGAUUUAAUUGAAAACGACGCUAUUAUAAAUAUUUAUUCUUUAAAAUCACCUGUAAGUUUUUUAUAACAUGGAACAUUUAAUGUUUACAAACAUUUUUUUCAGUGUUAUAGAUAUUUCAUAAUCAGAUUAUUAUUCAAGACAACGUACUUAUAAAGAUGAAAAUAAAACUUUAGCUGUUAUCGUUGAGAGUUUACCGAAUCUUAUGUCUUUCGACAUAUCUGGUACCAACUUGGGUGGAGAAGGUAGAGCAGAACAUUCUAUGCACUAGUCCUUAAGUGGCAAAAGUCAGACAUUCCCGGUUUAGAGCAUAGAGUCGACAAUCCUUUAUAAUUCUUAGGUUUAUUGAAAACCAUGCAUAAUGCUUGUCGACGACAUAAUAUUCCUGCAAAAAAUAAGUGGUGAUGAUAACAAUGAACAUAUUUAAUAGUGAUUAUUCAAAUAUGGAAAAACAGGAACUUCUCAAGUCAUCCAUAU